rfam:Ornithorhynchus anatinus chromosome 1, whole genome shotgun sequence.
AGCAGCAUGGCUCAGUGGAAAGAGCAUGGGCUUGGGAGUCAGAUGUUGUGGGUUCAAAUCCCUGCUCUGCUA